GAUGAACGCUGGCGGCGUGCCUAAUACAUGCAAGUCGAGCGAACAGAUAAGGAGCUUGCUCCUCUGACGUUAACGGCGGACGGGUGAGUAACACGUGGGUAACCUACCUAUAAGACUGGGAUAACUUCGGGAAACCGGAGCUAAUACCGGAUAACAUUUGGAACCGCAGGGUUCUAAAGUGAAAGAUGGUUUUGCUAUCACUUAUAGAUGGACCCGCGCCGUAUUAGCUAGUUGGUAAGGUAACGGCUUACCAAGGCAACGAUACGUAGCCGACCUGAGAGGGUGAUCGGCCACACUGGAGCUGAGACACGGUCCAGACUCCUACAGGAGGCAGCAGUAGGGAAUCUUCCGCAAUGGGCGAAAGCCUGACGGAGCAACGCCGCGUGAGUGAUGAAGGGUUUCGGCUCGUAAAACUCUGUUAUUAGGGAAGAACAAAUGUGUAAGUAACUGUGCACGUCUUGACGGUACCUAAUCAGAAAGCCACGGCUAACUACGUG
rnacentral:rRNA from 1 species